UACGUAGGGGGCGAGCGUUGUCCGGAUUUAUUGGGCGUAAAGCGCUCGUAGGCGGCUUAGCAAGUCUGGUGUGAAAGCCCUCGGCUUAACCGAGGAAGUGCGCCCAAAACUACUAGGCUUGAGUACCGGAGAGGAUGGUGGAAUUCCCGGUGUAGAGGUGAAAUUCGUAGAUAUUAGGAAGAACACCAGUGGCGAAGGCGGCUCACUGGCCCGGUACUGACGCUGAGGCGCGAAAGCGUGGGGAGCAAACAGG
rnacentral:rRNA from 1 species